AUACGAAGGGGGCAAGCGUUGUUCGGAAUAACUGGGCGUAAAGCGCACGUAGGCGGAAUGUUAAGUUAGAGGUGAAAUCCCAGGGCUCAACCCUGGAACUGCCUUUAAUACUGGCAAUCUAGAGACCGAGAGAGGUGAGUGGAAUUCCGAGUGUAGAGGUGAAAUUCGUAGAUAUUCGGAGGAACACCAGUGGCGAAGGCGGCUAACUGGCUCGGUACUGACGCUGAGGUGCGAAAGCGUGGGGAGCAAACAGGAUUAGAUACCCUAGUAGUCC
rnacentral:rRNA from 1 species